rfam:Asian citrus Psyllid, Diaphorina citri - Florida Strain, whole genome shotgun sequence.
GGCUAGUUAGCUUAGUUGGUAGUGCGUCUGCCUUGUAAGCGCUAGGCCGCGGGUUCGAUUCCCGCCCG